rnacentral:rRNA from 1 species
GAUGAACGCUGGCGGCGUGCCUAAUACAUGCAAGUCGAGCGAACAGACGAGGCGCUUGCUCCUCUGACGUUAGCGGCGGACGGGUGAGUAACACGUGGAUAACUUACCUAUAAGACUGGGAUAAGUUCGGGAAACCGGAGCUAAUAACGGAUAAUAUAUUAAACUGCAUUGUUCAAUAGUGAAAGACGGAUUUGCUGACACUUAUAGAUGGAUCCGCGCCGCUUUAGCUAGUUGGUAAGUUAAGGGCUUACCAAGGAAAUAUUGCGUAACCCACCUGAGAGGGUGACGGGCCACACUGGAACUGAGCAACGCUCCAGACUCCUACGGGAGGAAGCAGUAGGGAAUCUUGCGCAAUGGGCGAAGUCCUAACGGAGCAAGGCCGGGUGAUGGAUGAAGGUCUUCGGUUGGUAAGACUCGUUGAUUAGGGAAAAACAAAUGUGUAAGUAACUAUGCACGUCGUGACGGUACCUUACCAGAAAGCCACGGCUAACUACGUG